UACGUAGGGUGCGAGCGUUGUCCGGAAUUAUUGGGCGUAAAGAGCUUGUAGGCGGUUUGUCGCGUCUGCCGUGAAAAUCCGGGGCUCAACCCCGGACUUGCGGUGGGUACGGGCAGACUAGAGGUAUGCAGGGGAGAACGGAAUUCCUGGUGUAGCGGUGAAAUGCGCAGAUAUCAGGAGGAACCCCGGUGGCGAAGGCGGUUCUCUGGGACGGUACUGACGCUGAGACGCGAAAGCGUGGGGAGCGAACAGG
rnacentral:rRNA from 1 species